AUGGAGGGGUUCCGUGGCCACAACGGAGAAGAUGACUUCGGCCCAAUCGUCAAUGCCUCUAGUCAGAGACAAGGAACCAAAGGCGGAGAAGAGGACAGGGAUGUGGUGCCGACGGCGUGGUGGCGUAGAUCCGGCGUUGGUGUCGAGAUCGACGGGGCGGUGAUGAUUCCAACUCUGGCGGUCGUCGAGAAGGAGCACGUUGGCAACCCUCCAGACCACAGGGAGGCUUUUGGUGCCAAGCUGGCGGCACUCGUAUUGUAAUCCCGUGCGU
rnacentral:lncRNA from 1 species